rnacentral:misc_RNA from 1 species
UUCCGUAGGUGAACCUGCGGAAGGAUCAUUAAUAAAUGGCUCCUGAUUUGGAGCGCUUAAUAAUCCUACCCUUUGUGAAUUUGUUGUUUGAAAUAAUUUUUUUUAAAAUUAUUGAUUGUCUUUCCCUGUUGAAUUGGAGCGUUUUCGGACGUAAAGAUUCGCAGGGAUAGUCAGUAAUUUUUAAAAAAGACUUUUUUUUAAAUUAAACUUUUGUGUGUAUUCAUUUGUCUAAAAUUAUUUUUAUAAUAUAAAAACAACUUUUGACAAUGGAUCUCUUGGUUCUCGCAACGAUGAAGAACGCAGCAAAAUGCGAUAAGUAGUGUGAAUUGCAGAAUACGUGAAUCAUCGAAUCUUCGAACGCAUAUUGCACUUUUUUAGUUUACUAAAAAAGUAUGUCUGUUUGAGUAUCAGUAAAAUAUUCUAUAAAAACUUUUUUUUUAUGGUUAUGAGUGUUUUACAACGAUACAAGUUGUUUCACUUUAAAUUUUUUUAAAAUUUGAAUUUUUUUCUAAUUUUAAAAUAAAAUUGGAUAAAUUUUCCCGUAAAAAGGAAUAACCUAAACAAUUUUAAUUUUUUAUUAGAAAGAAUCAUUUAAAGGAAAAAUUUAACAAAAUAACUUGAUCUCAAAUCAGAUAAGAGUACCCGCUGAACUUAAGCAUAUCUAUAAGCGGAGGAAAAGAAAACUAACAAGGACUCCCUUAGUAACGGCGAGUGAAGCGGGAAGAGCUCAAAUCUGAAAUCUUCAAGGUUUUACCUUGACGAAUUGUAGUUUAAAGAAGUGUUUUCUGUUGAAGUUUUGGUAAAAGUUCUUUGGAAUAGGACAUCAUAGAGGGUGAGAAUCCCGUAUUUGACCAUUAUUUUCAGCUGUGUGAUACACUUUCAAAGAGUCGGAUUGUUUGGGAAUGCAGUCCAAAAUGGGUGGUAAAUUUCAUCUAAAGCUAAAUAUUGGCGAGAGACCGAUAGCGAACAAGUACCGUGAGGGAAAGAUGAAAGGAACUUUGAAAAGAGAGUUAAACAGUACGUGAAAUUGUCGAAAGGGAAGCGUUUGACACCAGUGUUGUUUUCUCGAAAAUCAAUUAAAAAUGGCUGGAUUUUGCGUUGUAUUGACCUUAACAGCUUUCUUCACUCUUUUCCUGUCUUUUUUAAUGCACUUUUCGUUUAACAAGUCAACAUCAGUUUCUUUUGUUGUAAAAGGGUCAUUGGAAGGUGGCUUUCCUUUCGGAGAAAGUGUUUAUAGCCUUUGAUCUCUGCAAUCGGAGAGACUGAGGUCUGCAGCGUAGACUCUUCGGGGUUAGAUACAUUUGUGCUAAGUUAUAGCUUUUUAUAGACAACUUGUUGACUAUAUUUAGUCUUGUAGCUUACUCGCUUAUGCUAUUU